GACGAACGCUGGCGGCGUGCUUAACACAUGCAAGUCGAGCGGUAAGGCCCUUUCGGGGGUACACGAGCGGCGAACGGGUGAGUAACACGUGGGUGACCUGCCCUCAGCUCUGGGAUAAGCCUGGGAAACCGGGUCUAAUACUGGAUAUGACUCCAUGACGCAUGUUGUGGGGUGGAAAGCCUUGUGUGGCUGAGGAUGGGCCCGCGGCCUAUCAGCUUGUUGGUGGGGUGAGGCCUACCAAGGCGACGACGGUAGCCGGCCUGAGAGGGCGACCGGCCACACUGGGACUGAGACA
rnacentral:rRNA from 1 species